rnacentral:rRNA from 1 species
CAGUCGCCGCGGUAAUACGAAGGGUGCAAGCGCUAAUCGGAAUUACUGGGCGUAAAGCGUGCGUAGGCGGUGAGUUAAGUCUGUUGUGAAAUCCCCGGGCUCAACCUGGGAAUGGCAAUGGAUACUGGCAAGCUAGAGUGUGUCAGAGGAUGGUGGAAUUCCCGGUGUAGCGGUGAAAUGCGUAGAGAUCGGGAGGAACAUCAGUGGCGAAGGCGGCCAUCUGGGACAACACUGACGCUGAGGCACGAAAGCGUGGGGAGCAAACAGGAUUAGAUACCCCGGUAGUCCCUGUCUCUUAUAC